rnacentral:lncRNA from 1 species
UCUUCUUUCCCUCCUACAUACUAAUAGACCCUUCCACAAUUGUCCCACCACGACGCUUUGUUCUCACCACUUCUGUCACAUCGUUGAUCCUGCGUUUCAAUUGUUGUCGUUGCAAUCUCUUCGUUGAUCAACUGGUUCCAUUGUUGAAGCCCGUCACACUCUCGUCGUGGUUCCAUGGUUAUUCCUUAAAUGUGAUGAAUGUUGUAUCCAACAAGCAACAAUUAAGUAAAGCUCGUCGUACUCUGUUAGUCUCCGUCGUGCACCAUCGCCGAAUGAGAUUUUCAGUGACCACCCAUGAUUUUUUAUUUAUUUGGUGAAUUUUGAGUUUGUUCCAUAAACAAAAAUAGUGAUGUUCAUGAUGCUGGUGGUGUUGCUUCGGUGGAUGAUUCUACCUUUUAUUGUUGGGUUCGUUUUGAUGGUUGAUUAUAUGCGUUAAAAUUGAUGACAAAGGGGAAAUCAAGGUUGUUGGUGGUGGUGGUGGUCGCCAGAGAGACGAAUCAUCAACAAUGUUUUUUUGGACAGUUCCAAUCGGAAAAAGAGAAAAAUCUUCAAUCAAAUGAUUUGCUUCGUUGAAAAUAAUAUAAAGGAAAAGAAAAACUAAACGUGCAAUGUUGAUGACGAUAACAUCAUCAUAAUAUAUCUGUUUUAUUUCAG